CCCAUGGUUUCUCACAAAGAUGUAAUGCCAAAUGGGAUUACCUCAGAAAGGUAUUAUUCAUGGACUUUAUCAUAUCCACUUAAAUGAAGAGUAUCAACAGGGCCCUGCUCAACUUUUCACAAGGUAAUUAAAGACCCAAAAGAGUUCUCUCAGCAGACAGGAUCUCCUCUCUCUACAGGGCAUUCCAUCAACAAGACAGAAAGCAAGUCCCUGAGGCUAUAGGCACCUUACUGCUGUUCUGUGAAAUUCCCACUUUACCAAUGGCUCCCUAGGUGGAUACAAGAAAAGAAAUAUCAGAAUCAUGGAGAGAGGGAAGGAAGAAAAUAAUGUGGGUUGGAGAACAUCUUGAGACUCUUCCUCUUCCUCACCCAUAUGGAUUAGGGUACGCCUUGUUGGAAUUGACAUUUUCACUGGCAGAAAACAUGAAGAUAUCUGUCCCUCUACUCACAUCAUGGAUGUUCCAAAUAUUAAGAGAAAUGAUUAUCAAAUCCAUUAAUGCAUCCAAGAAGAGUAUCAAGAAAGCUUUCUCACUGAAGAUAUUCACUGAGGACAUCGCAACCUGUGACUGUAUAUGUGAAUACAAAACCAAAACUGAUAUUUCAAGUUCAUGACUAGGAGUGACAGGCAAUUUGUAGAAUAAUGGAAGAGGGAGACAUAGGAGGGUAGAGGAGAGAGAUAGGAUGAAUUUUUGCAUAUGGAAAAGCUAAGUGGAUAUGGCAUGCACCCAUGUUUAUAUGUGAUAUGAAGAAAGCAACAUGAAGCAAGAUUGAUCCACAUGCUAAAGCAGAA